rnacentral:rRNA from 1 species
UGAGGAAUAUUGGGCAAUGCCCGCAAGGGUGACCCAGCAACGCCGCGUGGAGGAUGAAUGUCGUAAGAUUGUAAACUCCUGUUAGAGGGGAAGAAUAGUACCGGUUGGACCGGUAUAUGACUGUACCCUCAGAGAAAGCCCCGGCUAACUACGUGCCAGCAGCCGCGGUAAUACGAAGGGGGCAAGCGUUGUCCGGAUUUACUGGGUGUAAAGGGCGCGCAGGCGGGAUAAAAAGUCAGUGGUGAAAUCCUACAGCUUAACUGUAGAACUGCCUUUGAUACUUUUAUUCUUGAGUUCGGGAGAGAGAGACGGAAUUCCAGGUGUAGUGGUGAAAUACGUAGAUAUCUGGAAGAACACCAGUUGCGAAGGCGGUCUCUUGGUCCGACACUGACGCUGAGGCGCGAAAGCUAAGGUA